rnacentral:rRNA from 1 species
CAGUAGCCGCGGGAAUGCGAAGGGGGCUAGCGUUGCUCGGAAUGACUGGGCGUAAAGGGCGCGUAGGCGGAUUGUUUAGUUAGGCGUGAAAUUCCUGGGCUUAACCUGGGGACUGCGCUUAAUACAGGCAGUCUAGAGUGAGGAAGAGGGUUGUGGAAUUCCCAGUGUAGAGGUGAAAUUCGUAGAUAUUGGGAAGAACACCGGUGGCGAAGGCGGCAACCUGGUCCUUGACUGACGCUGAGGCGCGAAAGCGUGGGGAGCAAACAGGAUUAGAGACCCCUGUAGUCCCUGUCUCUUAUAC